rnacentral:rRNA from 1 species
UACGUAGGGUGCGAGCGUUAAUCGGAAUUACUGGGCGUAAAGAGCGCGCAGGCGGUCGUUUCAAGUCGAGUGUGAAAGCCCCCGGCUCAACUGGGGAGGGUCACUCGAUACUGAUCGACUCGAAGGCAGGAGAGGGUAGUGGAAUUCCCGGUGUAGUGGUGAAAUGCGUAGAUAUCGGGAGGAACACCGAUGGCGAAGGCAGCCGCCUGGCCUGACACUGACGCUGAGACGCGAAAGCGUGGGGAGCAAACAGG